CGUUCUUCUCUUUCCAACACCGUGUCUUUCAAAAGCUCAGAGAUGUAAACCUUUAAAACUGUGUGGAUCCAAGUGGAGGGCUCACAUUUUAGUCAUUCAGUGAUUCAAAGAAUAUGAACUUUUAAUAUUCAUUCAGGUGUUUUCUGACUCUAAAGUUUCUUUUCUCAUUUCUUAGAUUUUUCUAAUUUACAAUUAAAACAUUUUCAGCUUUUUUCCAACUUCUUCUUCUGUGUAACCUUCAGCUUUUAGCAGUUCAGCACUUUUGUUUUCAGGUUAAAUUCGGGUUUUUUUUUUUUAUCAUUCAACAUUUUUAACUCAAAAUUCAGCAAUUAAUUCAUUUCAGUGCAUACAUUCAGAUUCAAGCAUUCACACUGCAGUUUCUUCAGAAAAUGCACUUUCUAGUUGUAUUAAGUGAUUGUUAACAGGUUAUAACUGUAUUAAUCACCUAACCAACUAGUUUACCAACCUAAAUAACACAACUAACAUAAUUUAAUAUGUUAAUAUUUAAUGACUUGUUCAGAGAAGGUAUAGGUUGCAUUUUUUUGAAAAUGAAAUUUGUUUGAAAGCAACUCAAAAAUAUGUUGUACAUGAAUUGACACAAAGUUUGGGACAGACAUUCAUGCUCCCAAGAGGAUGAAUCAAUCAAUUAUCCAUCCUUGACAUUAAUUGAUGAGAAUACUGAUUGUUCACUCCCUGGAUUUUAUUUAUUGAUUGUUCAGUGUGAAAUAUCAAGUAGCUAGAUGACAGAACUUUGUAAAGGAAAUGGAAAAGGCACUGUAUUUGUGGGGAACUUUUUAUCAGUGGCGUUCAAAUGUAUUACUUAAAAUUAGAGUCAUAUGCAUUCAUCAUUUAUAUGAGCUUUGUUUAAAAGUUUCUUUAUUCAAACAGUCAGUUUUUCACUACUUUAAUGAGCAUUACAGCCUCUCACAUUCCACUUGAGUGAUUAUGCACUCAGCUCAGCCUUGCUUGGUUCAUACUAAUCGAAUGGAGGUACUCGAGCAAAAAUAUUUAAAUUUGCCAUUGGUAUGAUUAUAACAUACAAAUGAAAGACUGCAGCAUUAGAGCAAGUUAUUUCUUAAGAGUUUAUUUCUUCCUUUUCUUGUUACUCCUUCUUAGGUGGCCAGCGAUCCACCACUUACCCCCUGGACAACUGCUGAGCCGCAGAUAUUUAAUUAGAGCUCAUUAAAAGUCUGUCAUGAAAGAAAUGUGGCUCCUUGCCACUGCCUCUUAGAUCCAGGGAGUCUAUUUGGCUGAACUCUACAACAGGUCUUCAUUUCUCUGCUUAAUCCAGUACAUCUAUACCACUGACAGCUGCUCUUUGUUCAGCUUUCAUUCAGGUUUGGUUUCAAACUCUAGAAGAAGGGCAGGAGGAGGGCUCUUAUGGGAAAUGUGGGGUUGCAACAAUACUGCUGCUUUUCCUGAACCUGAUUGUUUGCUUUUCUGAAGUGUCCACUGGAUAAGAGGGUGGUCUCCUUAAAAAAAAAAAAAAAGAAAAACAUAAAAGGGAUGAUUCUUGAGUUCAGCAGACAUGCACAAUGAUUUGGUUUCCAGGAUUGACUAGUCCUUAUCUCCUGUCCACAGGAAGAAGUAGACAAUAGAAAGUGCCUGAUACACAAAUUGGCAUCUAGAUCUGUGUACUCAUGACAAAUUACCAUCCCUACUUUUAAUCGGUAUAAUUUUUGAUCGAAACUGCUUAUCGUAUUCAGCAGACUGGUUCAUUUUACAGUGUAAGACAGAGAGUCAACACACUGCACAACGUCCCCCACCCUGUUAUUUCACAGCCCUUGCCACCCACAACCCCUCUGCGUGCUCAACAGGCCAUGACAGUGCUCACAGAGCCAAUCCAGGCGUGACACUAUUGUAGCUGAAUGUGUCCGGAUGAGUUUGUCCGGGCAUGUAUGCCGGGCAUAAAUGGUGUGUGUGCAUUAGUAGCCCAG
ensembl:lncRNA